UCCCCAUCAAUUCUUGUGCUUGACUAU
rnacentral:piRNA from 1 species